rnacentral:tRNA from 1 species
GCUCAGUUGUAGAGCAAGACUGAAUCCU